AUUGCAGACUAUUUAGGAAGUGAUGGAGUUCGUCCUGAGGAAUUUGCUGUCGGUUUACACAAAGACUUUCAGUCGCUCCAAGGACAUGAUAUUGGACAAUUCCCGGGUUUGGAGUCCAUGGAAAAAGAGCAAGUUCAAGCAUAUCAGCUUACUUCUUGAAUCCCUAAGCAGGCCACGAAAAUUUCUAGAGUUUUUCAAGGUAUACUUCUAUUCAUACACUGUUUAUGGCUUUCUGUUUUUCACUUGGGUUACUGUCAUGUUAAUUCUCUUGGUUUUUAUAGCUAGGAUUAAGAAGUUUAUUCACAAAAUGCAGUUAUUGGCAUAGUUGCUAAGCAAGCAUCCUGAAAUUCUUUUUGUGAUACCAUCCAUUACGAAACGUAAUGAAUACAGAAGCAAAGGAAAGCGGAUUCUUCGGGCAGCUAAAUCCUUGCAGAAAACUUGUUUUCAGUAGCAUAGGUGACAGGAAUCGUGAUAUUUCCCCGGCUUUCAUGGAAGAAAAAUAAAAAAUUUCUAAUAACUGUAACCCUUUUGAGUUCUCCACAAAUCAGUUUGAAUAUGAAGCCAAAUAUCAGAUGCAUAUUUACAGGCUUCUUUCAGAGCAACAAAGUUUAAUGCUAUCAGUUGUUUUGGGUUCAAGUGAUCAGAGCUUCAUCCGGCACAAGCACGCCAAACAGAGUAUGAAAAAUUUUGAAACCUACAGUUAAAAAUUCUCAAGUUCCGUAUUUGACCUGUAGUCACAUUCAAGUUUAUACAUGACUACUGAUAUAUGAAAUGGCAUUUUUAUUCAGUUCCAGAAAAGUCGCAUGCAGAGGAUUUAAAUUUCAUAUUAAUGGAAUGGUUUUGAGCUUCAUUAUUAGAUUUUUUUUUUCAAAAUAAUUAAUGGAGUUAACAUUACUUAUUACAGGAAAAGAAAGAAAGAUUAAUUCUCCAUGGGAAAAGCGUUGAAAGAAGCUUCUCAUGAGCGCAAUCAGUCCCUCAGUUGCUUACCAUGGUAUCUUUUCCAUACUUUCACACAUGUUGAUAAAAUUCUUUCUUGGUUAAAUAAUUUGGAGAGAGAGCUGUUCAUUGGCAACACAAGCAACAAAAUAUCACACACAAAUUAAUUCCAACAAAAAUAAUAUUUUUACACGAGAGACUUGUGUGAGAGAAGAGGGUUAAUUAGAUGAUUACUAUUGAGAUCACAAGUUAGAGCGAAAUGAACACAGGCAAUUGAACAAGCUGUGACAGAGUCUGUGAUACAACUCUGCAACUCAGAGUUUAUAUCCUAGAUUUACACUUUUCGAGUAAGUGCUGACUCCAGCAAAAAGAAGCAAAAGAAUUGAAAUUAAUGGAGAAACAGAGAUAGCAGGAGAGACGGAGAGAGAGAAGAAGAAAUAUUUGCCAUUUUCUUGCUUUCUAUGACGUGUUCCCCUCUACAUAUAUCUUUUAACCCCUCAACAUUACACGUGUAACUAACCAACAAAUGAAUGAUUCAAAGAAAAAACAGUCACAACAAAAUAACAAAAUCACAGCUGCCAUCUUUUCCACUCUCUUUGUGCCUUCUCGAAUAUUCCUUAGGUAAUGUAAUCUUUGAGGUAUGUUGGUGCCCUGCGCAUACGAGCUGGACCUUUUGUGUGCUCCUCAACCAGCUGGGCUUCUUUCUCUGUUUCCCAUGCUGACUUGUCAUUAAUCUCGGGCAAGGUUGUAUCAGUCUGUCCAGCUGAAGAAAUUGAAAACUCUUUGGCAUUUGUCUGCAAGCUUUAAAGCCGUCCGAAAACCAUUGUGCUUCUGCUUGAUAGCCAGCAACAAAAACAAGAAGAAGAACCCAGUACAGUUGCAGUUUCUAGUUUUUCAUGCUUGCCAUCUUUUCGUUCUUGAGAUUGAAAUGAUUUAAGAUUUAUUUAAAGGGUCUUUAUCUUAGUAUGCAAUUAAUGGUUUGAAAACAGAUUAUAUGCUAUUACAAGUGAAUUUUCCUGAUAACGAUUGCUUGACUAGGAUUCUUGUCGUAGUAUAAAUUAUUAAACAUGAUUUUAUAAUUAAUGAUUCGUACAUUAAGUGAAAUAGAAACCAGGAUUUGAAAACUACUUUGUUGGUAAAAUCGCUUGAAGCAACAGCCUAAAAUUAUCAGAUGGUGAGAAAACAGGAGAUGAUCUACCAAGAGAGUAAUGAAGUUUUCUAAAGUCCAACUGAAAUGAUUUCAGGAUUCGCUUCAACAAUGCAAAAAUAUAUUUGAUAUUUCAAAUCUAUGAAAUUCAUUUUCUUUAUCGUUAUCUUGGACGUAUCACAUGUCAAAAUGCAUUAAUUACCGAUGCUAGCACUUGAAAUAAAAAAAAUCAAAUGGUAAGUAUUUUUAUAUUACAUACUUGAUUGUACCCCAAACCCAAUUUGUAAGACAUGAAGAAGAAAUCUCUUUUAUAGAGUUAUUUCCAAAAUGGCAGAAUCUACCAUCUUGAACCAAAGUAUAUCAUUAGAACAAGGAGGAGGAUUAAGGACAUUCUAUUUCGAGAGCUACCUGAUAGGGUACUUCAUUCUUGACAGAGUACUGGCCUUCGUUGUCAUAUUGCCACCGAAUCUGAACUUCUUUGAGGAAAUGAAUGCUUUGGUGGAAGAAGACCUUGAGCAAGAAAGAGACCAACAUGAAAUAGAGAUGAAGAAAAUCUCUAAUUAUGCAAAUAUGGUCUGAUUGGCUUGUGAGAUAACUAACCAAACUAAUCACUACUUUCAAUCUCAAUUAAAUUCCAACAAACAAUCUAUUUGCUAUACGAACUUAGGUGGUGAUCAACCAAAUAAAGUUGCCUGAAAACUGCUCCGACGAAACUCUGGGGAUAUAGUACAUUGUUUGUUGAUAUUGAAUGGGUAAACAGAAUAUUAGAAGCCCUUGCUGAAAUUUGACGGAGAUUGAAAGUAGUGAUUAAUUUGGUUCGUUAAAACUUACAAGCCCACAAGACCAAUUUGAUUAGUUAGAGAUCUUCUUCCACCAAGCAUCCACUUCCCCACAGGAUUUCAUGGCAGCUAAUUGUAUGCGGAUCGAUCUUCAAUUUGCCGUCUCAGAGUAUGAAACAUGAUCCAACAUUAUCACAGCCUAGCACUAUCUAAGUAGGUUUCUCUUUUAACCUUGCACGUUAUAAAGAUUGAGUAUAUAUAAAUAAAAUUGUACUUCGAAAAUUGGCUCUUGCCCUCAAUACGUGUUAAUCCAUGAGUUAGUUGGCUUUGUCCUGUUCAGUAUCGCUGCCUAGUAGGUGUGGCUUUUAAGCAACAACUUCGGUUUAUGACUUUGUAUUUGAUGAAAAAAAAAAUUUACUCUCACCUUUUUUUUUUCCUCCAAAUUAUUAUUUUUAAAGCUUUAAAAAUCAUAUUUAUCAAUUACUUUCAACUUUUAUUUCAUUGCAAUUGUAACUUAAUUUUAAGCCACAACACUAAAUAAAUCCUCCGCAAUUAAUGGUCUCUUUAACCUUGAAAUAUAUUUUUUUUUUAUAUAAUCACGAGGUAUCUUGGGGGGCCCAACUGUGGGAGGCACCUUUAAGCCCGUAUCACAACUCAGACUAGAAGUCUCCGCUCGAACCGGGAGGCACGGGUUCUCCCAACAAAGACGACUUCCCUGCGACUCGAACUGGGGAGCAAACCAAGUCAAGCCACUUAAGGGGACUCCAUUGCCAAUGGAGCCAACACUUUAUUGGUUAACCUUGAAAUAUUAAUAACAAAACUACUCACCGUCUGUCACCAUGAGCCACCACGAACCACCAUCGGCAUUCAUAUUUAGGUAUCUUCUGUCAUUAAUUUUAUACAUUAGAAUCUUCAAACUUUUGAUAAUGUAGCAAAAAAUGCAUAAACAUUGUAAUUAGUGUUAUGCAAUGCAUUUCAUUUCAAUUGCCUAUGUGGCAAACAUACUUUUUAGGUGUUGAAAUUGGGCAAAAGUUACACUAUAAAAAUAUUUGAUAAACACUUGAUACUAUAAUUUAAAAAAUAAGUUGAGAUUUGUUUAAAAUAAAAAAAUAAAAAACAGCAGUUAGACUUGAGUUUAACUUGAGAUUGAUUGAUAUAUAUAUAUAUAUAUAUAUAUAGCAAUGCUUUUAAGUUUUCUGAGUUUAAUUCAAAAUCUACCUCAAUUGACUUCAAUUAAAGUCAUGUGCAUCUGUUGGGCAUGGUUGAACUGGAGAACAGAAGGGAGUGAAAAAUUUUACGGGCACAUGUGUGAAAUUUUGCUUACGUACUUGAUCAACAUGUUUUGGUUUCCUUCUUAUUAUUAUUAUUAUUUUUAUUUUUGGCAAUCCUCAGUAACUAUGAAAUGAAAGUUGGUUGUAAUUAUGAAAUGAAAAGAAAAUAUCAAAUUAUAAUCGAUAGUUAAAACACAAAAAGUUACCUUUGCACUCUGAUGUAGUCUGGCAGAUAAUGAAGCAGGGAGAAAGAUUCUGAUCAUUUUCCCUCUAAACAAGCAUGAAAGUCCCAGUUCUGUAAGAUGUAUCAUUGGUAAUUUUCAAUUAUAAGCUAAUAUAUGAUAUUUUUUGGGUGGACAAAAUUAUUCAGGCCCUUAAAAUGACUUAUAAAUUAUAUUGAAAUUAAAUUUAAAAAUAAUUAAAAAAAUUUAAAGUUGGAACCCAAAAGAAGAAGAGGAACGAUUUACUCAUGACAAAAGAUAAAUAAAGGGUUGUCACCCAAACAAGAGGAUCGCACAUUCUUAGGGGAAAAUAUUUGGAGGAUUCACCAAAGAUGGUACCUGGGUUGUCAGCAUAACGAUUUGGGUGGCGAGAGGCAAAGAAAACAGAGGAUGUAGGUGAUUUAAUUAGACAAAUAAUUAGGAUACAUCGAACAGAGGAGAAGACAAUCGCAAAUUCGUUGGAGCAGUUGAUUUCGAUGAUUUGUUUAACGAAUCGGAUGGCGCUUUUGUAAAUGUAGUUGCGAACUGCAACCCACUAUUUGGGUGUUGAAAGUGUAGGAAUUCCUCAUGGCCGAAAGUAGAGGGAAUAGCGCCUGUUUUUUUUUUUUUUUUUUUUUUUUUUUUUUUUUUUUAAAAAAAUUUAAAGUUGGAACCCAAAAGAAGAAGAGGAACGAUUUACUCAUGACAAAAGAUAAAUAAAGGGUUGUCACCCAAACAAGAGGAUCGCACAUUCUUAGGGGAAAAUAUUUGGAGGAUUCACCAAAGAUGGUACCUGGGUUGUCAGCAUAACGAUUUGGGUGGCGAGAGGCAAAGAAAACAGAGGAUGUAGGUGAUUUAAUUAGACAAAUAAUUAGGAUACAUCGAACAGAGGAGAAGACAAUCGCAAAUUCGUUGGAGCAGUUGAUUUCGAUGAUUUGUUUAACGAAUCGGAUGGCGCUUUUGUAAAUGUAGUUGCGAACUGCAACCCACUAUUUGGGUGUUGAAAGUGUAGGAAUUCCUCAUGGCCGAAAGUAGAGGGAAUAGCGCCUUUUUUUUUUUUUUUUUUUUUUUUUUGAAUUCUGAUAUACAAGACUGUAGGUACUACAAUUAAUAUUUACAAACAGAUUCUAUAAUUGAGACCUUCUUCGUGGCAUGUACUCCUCUGAAGCGUUGCCCAAAUUUUUCAAACUCUCUCAAAUAUUCGAGGGUUGUCCACUCCACUCACAUUUCGUGAGGGAUAGACUGACUUCACUCAAUUAUUUGAUAAUUGAGAGAAGAUUAUAAAUAAGUCCCAUAAAUUUUUUUUUUUUUUAAUAGCGCGUCUGUUUGAUUUACUAUAUGCAGUACGAACCGGAUGAAGAAGGUAAUUCGUGGGAAAAAAAUAAUGGUUACUUGUGGUUGAAAUUUGAUGAAACUAUAGAUGGUUAUAUUUAUUCGAAGGUAUUAACUAACAUAUAAUAAUUUAUUGUUUGAACUCUUGACUCUUGCAUAAGAAAAUCAAUUGGUAGAGAAAAUUGUUCAUUGCCAAUUUAGUAAAAUAUUUGUUGGUCCCUUGAAAGGUAUAAGAAAUUUUUGGAGUAAAAAAUAUUUAAACAGAGUUGACAAUAUGGAGUUUAUGGAAAGAGCUUUUAAACAAAUCUCACCAUGUAAUUUUAAAUAAGGUUAAAAUCGUAAAUAUGAGAGGGGUUUUUAGAUGACUUUAGAGGGGUGCCAACAGCGCCACUUAAAUGCAAAGCCACUCUUACUUUACUCGUCUCUUAACGACCUAGGGUUCUUCUUCCACUCUCCAUUCUUUUGCUUGCCGACCUGAAAAUCCCUUCUCUUGUAUUCAAAUCUCAAAAAGUGCCAUUUUCGUCAUCGAAAAUAAGCAGAUCUACACCCUGUGUUGUAUGGUUGCAGUCCGUGUGAAGCCAUUGACGUCGAUGGAUGAUGCGGGGUUCUAACUGUCACUUUGAAAACAGUUAUGCCUAUUCUUCCUUGUACUGUAGAAGGCUCCUGUGACCUCAAAGACGUCACCAUGGAAUGGAAGCAUGCUGAAGGCUUAUCCGAUGGUUGGCAUAGAAGGUGGCAAGUUACUUGUAAUAGGCAAGCUGCAGAAGAAAGAUGACGUUUUCAAGGUCGCAGGAGCUUUCUACGGUUGGGGAAAUUUUUCCAUGCUGAAAAAAUAGACCUGUUGAAUCCAUUCGUACUUCAGCUUGAAAUCCCCCGCUACCCCCCCCCCCCCCCCCCAACAAAAAAAAAGAACAAGGCUGCGGUGAGUCCAGUCUUUUUGUGUAUAUAGACUUUGCAACAAGAUUAGCUUUAUUUUCCCUUUUGUUCUUGAAUCAAUACAAAACUUCAAUUUUGCAGGGUACUUUGGUGCAGCAUAUGUAGAUAUGUAUGUGUUGCUACUCAGGCUUUCUGCAAUAUUUGUAUAAUUUUUUAUAUAUCAUUUAUUAGGAAAGUAUCCCAACUGCAACAGCAGAGAAGGUGAAAACAGGUAUGCUCGAGGACUUCGCCUGCCAGAAGGUUCACUUCAGAAGCCCCUUAUACUCAAGUCCAAUUAUUGUAAGAUUCCACUGUUUGGGCAUUAUCUUGUGAUUUCAUAUUUAUCGUGUCCUGUUUGAAUCCCUGUGACCUACUUGGGCUGUGACUAUUUUCUGUUGCUGUAGCUUUAGAAUGAGUGGUUGACUUGGACAGCCUUAUCAAGUUAUUGUGUGCACUUGUGUGUAAGUCCCUAGUUCUACUUUCUUCUGAUACUCGUUUUUCAGACGAGAUGGAUCGUGUGAUUUCAAUUUAUUAAAUAUUUAAAACAACUUGAGGAUUUCAUAAUUGAGAAAAUUCUGGGUCCCUUUAUGUUGAUUUAGGUAUUUAUCUUUUUUUGUUUGGGAUGUAUAGGGGUGCAGCUCUUCCAACUAGUAUUCCAAGUAUUCAAUGUAUAUCUUUGAUCCCCGAGGAAGGGCUGGUAUAUGUGGUGAUUGGCUGCUGGGUUCAAGUUUAGAGUUAGCUGCCUUAAGUGGCAUGGCUCUUGCUGAUCAUGUAAGCAAGAGUAUGAGUUUCUUUUUCCAAUUUGGUUUUGUUUUGCACAUACAAAUGUAUAUUUCAUUAUUGAUAAUUAGUAUCAAAUUUAAAAAAAAAAAAAAAAAAAAAAGCAACACCACCUUUAUAUCCCUAUAUAUGGACAUUUAAAUAUAAAUUAGUGUAUUGGCUUAAAUGCAGUUCGAAAUAUAAGACAAGUUUCAAACAUAAGAUUAAAGCUUGACUAUUCAUAUAUAAAUAAUGUAAUUGUUCGAUGUAGAUUGCAGAUUAUUUAGGAAGUGGUGGAGUUGGACCUCAGGUGUUUGCUGUCAUUUUCCACAAUGAGUUUCUGGGUUUAGAGUCCAUGGAUAAAGAAAAAGUUCAAGCUAUCAACUUACCAUUUGAAUGCAAGCAGGCCAUGAAAAUUUCUAGAGCUGUCAAGAUAUGCUUCUAUCAACGCAUUGUUUAUGGAUUUAUUUCACUUGGGUUAUUCCCAUAUAUUAAUUGUCUUGCUUUUAUUACUGGGAUAAUUUGAUUGCAGUCAUCGAUGAGAGUAAUGCUUAUUUAUUGGUAAUUGAAAUAUUUUGCGAUCAACAGUGUCGCAUGUGUUCAUCAUUAUAUGUCUACACACACACACACACGCACAAAAUAUUUAUAUAUAUGUUUAUAUACCAUGACAAGGGCUUUGUGCGUUAUCAUUCAUUGCUUGUAGCCAUUGUGACACUUGAGUGUAUAUGCAACUUAGGCCAUAGCAAUCCUUUUUGGAAUGAAAUUUUGAUUUGAUUAUUGCCAUUUUUGUGAUUGAGUUAUUGUGACUUUUGGUUCAAAUAUCAUAGUUUUUAUGCUUUCAAAAUUAUCCUGCCACCAAAAUAGGACUCAACUUGAGUUAUUCAAACUUGUGAAACUUGAAUUUUGUGUUUCUAAGUUUUUGAAUUUUGUGUAUCUGAGUUGAGUGCUGAGUUGGUCAGCCACAUCCAUGCAAUGAUUCGUUGUAUUUAUUUUGUUUAUUUUAAUAUGCUUUGCUUUAUCGAGGGAAUCAUGGCUUGGGAGGAAGAACGGAAACCAGAAUGAUAGGUCCUCAACCACUGAUAUUUGAUCAUGCUGCUCAAUUCUUUACCGUGAAUGAUUCUUGGUUUGGUGAGUUGGUUGAUGGUUGGUUGGAGAGAGGUCUGGUGCAUCUGUGGAGAGCUUGAAGUGGGUGGUCAAUUCACCCCAUUUCCUUCUUCACUUCCAAGAUACAUUGGUAUUAAUGGGAGCGCCUUCUUGCCGACUCUUGAUUGGCCCAGGUGACAAAUCUACGUUUGCUUUUGUGUUAAUCCUUUUGUUGAUUCUUUUAUGCUUCUUUGCAUAAACAAUGGGGGAAUAUUGUUUAAUUAAAUCACAAUGGUAAGCAACUACUAUAUUUUUUUGAAGUUUGCUGGUAGGUAGGGUUGCAACUUGGCUUGAUCCUCCCAAGUGCAGUUCUAUGCUAAUGAUUCAAAGUCCCAAAAUCAUCACAGUUUUGAGGUUUAAUUGCACAAGGAAGAUCAGAAGCGAAUUUUACAUUGUCAUGUGAUUUCAAUUGCAUAGGCUGCAUGGGUGACAUAAUGAAAUACUGGCUAUAAAGAUUGUAACUGAGUAAAAGAAAACUGGCACAAACAUUUUGCACCACUGUAUUAUUAAUACAAUUCCUGCGAAAUAACAAGCUUCUAUAUGCAGCAUUAAUAGUGAAUGGAGUUAGGUGUAAACAACAUCUUAUCAAGGCAUUAGAUUAUGUAAAUCAAGUUCCUUUGUCCUUCAGCUAUGUUGUUUAUAGUCUAACUCUGUUUUGAUAUGCUUGUUGCAGACUUCUUCAGGUUAAUGUAAUGAGACCUUGGUGGAUAAGUAAUCUUGAUCCAUUUAAUGGGAUGUGGCACCGGAAAACCAUCUGUUUAAAUUUAAUAACCAGAGUGGUUUUAUAGAUCUGCUUUUUAUUUUUUUUUUUCCUUUCAGUUUCUUGUCAGAUUGUAAGACAAUUUAAGGUGUAUAUACUUUGAAAUAUUCAGUUUAUUUAAUAUUUUCUAGCCUUUGCAUUAUUGAGAGUCAGACCAUCUUUUAGUUGUUUUGAAGAUUUAUGAUGCAUUUUGUGGGUUCUUAAGAGGCUAUACUUAAGCUCAAUAUGGGCUCUUCUUUCUUCAUUUGAGGAUCCCCUUCCGCUAGACAGUGCCGCGACAUUGGAAGGAGCCUGUGUUAAGGAGUUGAUUGUGUUUCAUGGAUGGCGAUAACUCAGCAAGGCUUUCAAGUUCUCAGAGUGAUGGCCCUCGUUGUUUGACACCCCCACUUUAAUCCAAGCUAAAAUAAACCUUAUUUCUCCCCACUCCUCGUUAAACUCCUUACUGGUGGUGUCUUCAUUUUCAAUACCCAUACUUGUAUGGCUAAACCUAACAGACAAAAUCAUUAGUGGUGGUGAGCAAAGACUAGGAUGCCUUCGGCAACUGGUCACUGCUAAUAACAAUAAUCUUGAUUCAAAGAAUGGCGGAUCCUUAGCCCGUCUGUCCGCAAUGCGUCAAGGGUUAUUGGCUGGUAAAAAUCACUUUGAUGAUGUGCUUACUUCCCCAUUUUUUUAAAACGAUUAAUUUCAAAUAUUUCCAUUGAUUUUAGACCACAAGAAAACCAACCAUAGAAUCUUCAAAAUGGCUUUCUACGCAAAUGCUGCUCGGAUUACAGUUUCGUUGGGAUAAAGUUUUGAGUUUCUUAUCAUUCUUCAAAGGCUCUGAUAUGUGGGAGUAAAGAACUUUAGAAACAAAUUAUGUGUAAUUAAAUUCAAAUCUGGUCAAGAAUUAUGGGAAUAGCAAUCUAUUUACACGAGUUUAGUUGGGAUUAGAAAUAAAGAAAAUUUUGUGACGUUUCCGCCGUAAGAGACCGUUGGAUUGGCAGAUUUUGACCAUGGGGGGCCGAGAUUGUGCCACGUCUCCACGCGCACCAUAUACCUUACUAUAUGGUUUUACACACCCAACCAUUCUUGUCUUAUUAGGGAGCAAUCUUGACCGUCGGAUCGUGCAUCAACGGUUCUUGAAGGCGUGCUCACCAUGCUUAUUGUUGAGAUGGUGACAUUAACCAUUUCUCACCCCCAUCUAUCGUAGAUCACGGGUUUUUUAUUUAAAUAUACCCCAUUUGUCCUUAAAUGCCAAAUCUAUACCCCAUUACAUACAUAUACCUCUUAAAAGUAUAAAAAGUCAAAAAUAACCUAAAAAAAUCAUCUAUUUACGUUUACUUCCUCUCUCAUGACUUCUACAUAAUAACACAACCAAAGUCGAGUAUACUCGACUUUUUACCUGACUUAAUUAAAAGGAAAAUUUUCAUUUCAAUUUAAGUCGAGUAUUCUCAACCAAUUACCGAACUUCAAUGAAAAGUCAAGAAUUUUUGCUGAAUGAAUAUUGGGUAAGGUUAAAUUAAAGUUGGGUAUUCUCGACUCUUUACUCUACUUACUUGAAAAAAUCAAGAAUUUUUCAGAUAAUUUUUUAUUUCAAUUGAAGUCGAGUAUUCUCGACUAUUUACCCGAUUAAUAUGAAAAAGUCAAGAAUUUAUACUGAAUUACUAAUUGUGUAUAGUUUGGUUGAAGUCGAGUAUUUUCGAUCAUUUACCCGACUUUGAGGAGUUGGGUUUAGUUUUAUGAGGAUUUAGUUGUGGUUAUUUUUGUAUUUUCUCUAGUUUUUUAGAGUAUAUAUAUGUAAAAUUUAAGAGUGUUAUAAUUUUAGGUAUAUAUUGGGUAUUUUGAAGGGAAUGGGGUACAUCCCACACAAUUCUCCCGUCUUGAAGACAUAAAUCAAAAUGCACUCUGUGUUCUGGGAAGAAGACGAGAACACUGUUCUCUUCAAGUUGCCUCUUGCCUCAGGGACGAAGCAAGAGGGUGUAAAGGUCACGAUAGAAGAUCAGAAGCUGUUCGUCUCAGAGGAAGCAGGCAGCUCUAUCAAUCAAUACUUUGGUAUGUAUGUCACUUUGCCUGAAGGUCUCAACCCGGAUGGCUUCGAGACCUCAGUGGAUCAGACGGGGCUCCUUACUGUCCGUUUCAAAAAACGUAUGCUUUCAUGUAGUACCGUAAAAAGCUCCUGCGACAUGGCUCCCAUGGGCUGGUUUGAGCCUGAUGAUAAAAACGGAGUUAUCCACUUCAAAGUGGGUCUUUCAGCAGAAACGAAGAAAGAAGAUCUCGUCGUCGGCGUCGUAGAUCGACAAUUUCUUAUAAUAGGCCAGCAGCGGAACGAGAAAAAGGAAGGAGGCUCCUGCGCGAGCUUCGUAGUGCCGCAUGGUGUGAACCCGGAAGGGUUUGAGACCUCCAUGGACGAACCGGGGGUCUUGACGGUCACGUUCAAGAAGAAGCCAUCGAAGGAUGGCAAGAAAAAGAAUAAAAAGAAAUUCAAAUCAAGGUUGCUCGGAGGUUUGGCUGAAGCGUGUCUCCUGACAUCUUGCAAGUGCGCUUGUGAUGAGCUUACUGGCGACGACUCCUAACUAAUAAUUAAGCUGGUGUUUGGAAUAUGGUAUUUCCUAUAUCAUGUUCUCCUUGUUGGUCGUUUUUUUAUGAGUGUUUUUUCUGUUUGAAAGAAAUAAACUCUGGACUAGUACUGGAGAACUCCAGAGCACAUGUUCCAAUUUACUCUUCUUCCUUUGGUUUGUCUGGGAGUUUUGUGUGUAAUAAUAUUAAUCAUUAAAAUAAGAGCUUUGUCUAUUUCCUUCUUCUUCUUCUUCUUCUUCUUAUUAUUAUUAUUAUUUCUUUUUCUAAGAACCAGUAAUUUCAGUUGUGUUAAAUGAUAUUGUGUGCGUUAAUUUUUUUUUUUCCUUUCUCCAAUUUUAAGGAUGGACUUUGAUUACCUAUAUAAUGACAAUCACAUGGGUAAACCAAGCAAACUAGAGUAGUUCAUCUAAUACAACUUUGUAUUUGUUUAAUGUGAACUCCGUGAUUGAUGCAACUUACAUCACUAUUAUAACGAAUCUCUUAUCUUUAAGAAUAAGUAACAGAGUAUUGGACAGCUGCGCUUAAAUCUUAAUUGAGUCAGAGUCCCCUAAGGUACUCAAUACUCCACUCACAUGAAGGUAUAGGUGGGGGUACAUUCAAUAACACUACAUAGGGUUUUUUUCAAUUGUUAGCGUAAAUUUGUUUGAUUAUGCUAUUCAGUUUUUGAUAAUCACUAUUUCAAAAUAUAAAUGUGCAAUUUGGUCAUUAGGAUACAAAUCAUAGCAAUUUUGAUAUUGUUUGUUAGGUGGAAAAAAGUUGUAGGGUAAUUACAUACACUUAGUAUAUUAUUAUUGCUAUUUGAAUGCCAUUGCUACAUUAACUGCAAUGACAUUUGGUUUGUGGCAUACUGAAUAAAAUUUCCUUUGAGCCUACAGGAACAGGACUGUCCUUGUAACCGUCCUAGUUCCUUAAUGGAUGUAUCUUUUAAGUCUUGCAUUUGGCAUAUGAAGUUUAUUGAAAGAAAGCAAAUGAUCAGGAGCUGGUCUUAAAAGCAUGUUCUUCGAGGAAUACAAUACAAACAGUAAUAGGUUUUGAGACAAUUCAUAGAGCUUUCCUUGAGUGAAAAAUAGUCACAUUACUAUUUAAACUGACACGACAUGCUCUUCUAGUUUAUUCAAAGAAUUAUGAGAAUAACCUCAGGUAUGUUAAUUGAAAAAUGCCCAAACUGGACAAGUCAUAUUCAUACCAUGUAACCCAGGUUCGUUAAUUUUAAAUUCCAAUUUAGUGUUCUGAUCUAUCUUCAUCUAUUUUAGCAUGUGUUUCAUAAUUCAUGCUUUAUUCUUCUUCUACUUUUUUUGUCCCCCUUCUUAGCUUCCAUUGGAUUAUUGAUGUGGUGAAAAAGGAAAUGUUCUAUUUGGAUCCCGAAAGGGCAAUCCUUAUCCGAAUUUAGACCAGAUCCUUAAAGCAUAUGUUUCCUUUCCAUUCGAUACCAUUCAUAUUUUAGGUUUCUUCAAUGUAUUUUAGAGAUACUCUUGUAGUUUUUCAUACAACGCCAUGAAACUGUUCACAAUAUAUAUCUAAGAUGAGAUUUGUGGAGGUUAAAUAAAUUACCUUACCUGAAUGCAGUGUGGCUACUACUUUUACUAACACAAAUGUAAUUUGUAAUUAACUUUUUGGUUUUUAACCGUGAAUAGACCCUGCAACAACCAGACCAUAUGGAGUGAGGCUAUUAUGUCAUGAGGUACAUGAAGAAUAUAAUAGCAUACAUUGAUUUGCUAAAGAACAAUGUGUGUUACUGAUGAAUAAUAUCAAUAGGUUUGGUUUGUAGCAUAUAUAUGUGGCGUUGAUUUGGAAGUUCAACAACAAUGAUUUUGUGGUUAACAGCUCAAUGCAAAGGACACCACACUCUAGCUGAAAUCAACAAACGACAUGCGUUUGGAGUGGGCUAACCUUUUUUCUAAAAUCCUUGUUGCAUCGUCAUACUAUAAAUGUGAAAUUAUAGUGCAGGGUGAUAGGGAGGGAACUCACAGAUGUACACAUGGAUAAGAAGUCAAAUGGAGUUGUACCGAAUUCAAAUGAUGCAUCUUGUGAUAAAGUUCAUGUGGCUCCAAAAAUCUCAGAAGACAAUGUUGAUCUAAAGGACUACAAGGUGAAAGAAUGCACUGAAGAAAUCUCGUUCAAAAAUUGUAAUGAGAAACAAGAAGAACUUGAUGUGGAAUGUAAAAAUUUUGAUGUUGAUGUAACUGAUGACACAAAUGACUAGCCGGAACUGCAAAAGUCAAACUCUCCAUCUAAAUCUCGUGGUCCUGCUAAUGUGCGUACAAGUCUCACUGUCCUACAGCCCUUUGCUCUGGCAACUGAAAAACGUGCUUCAGGCACAACUAGACAUGGUGGGGCUGAAACUGCAGCUGAUAGCAAUAAUGCGCAGUCCCCUAUGCCAAAGAAGACUUCACAGGUAACUUAAAUCCUCAAUUGGAUAAAUUGUGAAUGCUGCUAUUCUUUAUUAUUAAGUUGAAGGAUCAAUGAACUUAACGAGAAACUUGACAUUAACUACAGCCAAUAUAAUUGGUGGUCUGAAGAGGCAAAAGAAUUCCAACUAUUUGUAAGGAGUCAAGCAACUUUACCUAGCAAAUAGAUAACAAAUUCAACCAAUGGAGUUUGUACCUUAUAAAGUUGCCUAAAACUAGUUUUUCUUGCAUUAAAUAGUAGGUUUCCUUAGAUCUGUUCAAGAAAAAAUUUUAAAAAAAUCUUAAUCACUUAACUAUAUUUUCAUUUGAUUUUCGUGUUAGGAAUCUUUUCCCACUAUAUGCCUUCUUGAUUCAGUCUUAAUGCUUGAUUUAAUUGGAACUGCUCUACAUCAUAGCCUUUGUUUUGUUUUGCUUCCCUGGUGCAGCAUGGGGAAAUCCAUAGCUCAUAGAUCUGUAAUCUUGUUAUCCUAUUUGCUUUAACUUCAAAAAGAAUAUCUAGCUAACUGAAUAAGCAAUUUGUAUGGUGCGUGAAGUCUGAUGGGAAUUCAAAAUCAUCUUGAUCUUGUUUGCAAUGAUCAAUGUUGCACAAAUUAUGGAUUUUAAGUUGUUGCUAGUCUUUGAUAUUCUGCAAUUUCUUUUGGAAACUCACCCCUGAAUCACAGAAGCUAUUGCAACUUGAUAACAAGAAGCUUUUUGAUGAAUUCGAACCCUUUGUUUCUUAUUUUAGUGUGCUUUUAACUAUAUGCUUUUAACUAUUGUUGGCUUUGAUAUACAUAGAAUGGCAGCAUCUAUACACAAGGUAAUUGUUGGAAUGGCUCCAAAAUUUGGAUGUUCUGAACGUGCUAGGAAACAGGAGGAGGUAUUUUUCAUUUAUCAAAUAAUUAAAUAUAAAAUUUAUUUUCAAAUGUGUUAUCUAAAUAAUGUUUUUGUAUCUUCUUGUCAUUUCCAUCUUCUAGUUUUGUACUAAAUUAGAGCAAAAACACAAAGCUUUGGAGGAAGAGACAAGCAACUUUGAAGGUGCAUUUUCUUAAGUAUCUCUGAUGUACUGUGUCUGCAAUCGUCGUUUUAUCUUAUUGCAGACAUCUGAAGAUCUUUGUGAAAUAGUAAUGUUUGAGUUGAUGUUCUGAUGCCAUUUUUAGUUCUUACAAUAAUGAGUUGAUGUCCUUAUCUGUGUGAAUAUUUUUUUAGUUCUUACGAUAAUGCUAUUUGAUUUCUGAUAAUUAGUGAGUGGGUACGGAAAGCGAAUUAAGGUUCAUAAAUACAUAUAUGUUUACUUUCACGCACUUUUUGACCAAUUGCUGAGAGCACUAGCAUGGUAGAAUAGAUUCACACUUCAGCUUGAAAUCCCAAGCUGUUGAAACAGGCCGCAAUGAGGUCAGUUUUAUGUGCACUUUUUGUCUUGGAAAUAAUAUUAGCUUGAUUUUCCGCCUUAUAUUUUGAAUCAAUAUGAUAUUUCAAUUUUACAGUAUAGAUUUAUAUUGCAGUUUAGCUUCAGCAAGAGUGGCCGAUUUGAAUAGUCUGGUUAUGCUCAUCUGAAAAACGAAAUGGAACAUGUGAUUCCAAUUUCUUAAAUAUUUGAAAUAAUUUGAGAGUUUCAUUAAAGUUUUCUAAACAAUCAUGAUUAGCCUAGAAAUUUAUGAAAACUGCGUUCCUUUGCAAUGACUUAGUUUGAUUUGUCUUUUUUGGGAUUGUGUUUUCGGGUGCAGAGGCGGCUCUUCCGACUAAUACUCUGAGUAUGCCGUGUAUCUUUAUCCCCAUGGAAGGGAAGGUAUAUUUGGCAAUUGGCUGUGGGUUCAAGUUUAGAGCCGGCGAGUCAGCAGCCUUAACUGGCAUGGCUCUUGCUGAUCAUGUAAGAAAAUUAUAUGAUUUUCAUUAGCUCAUUGGCUUUACUUAUAUAGCUUCUAAUAAGUCUGGGACUUGACAUUCAUUUUUCACUGUGCUACAGUGUUAUAAACCUGGUUUACAACAUUGUAAAAGUUUGUUUACAGUUUUGUAAACACGUCCGGAACUCUAAGACAAUCCAAAAUUCUUGGAUUAGUGUGUGUAUGUAUGUGUGUAUAUAUAUAUAUAUAAUGAGAUCUGAUCAGGUAGGAGAUCUCGCUAUCCAAGAUCCAACAUGAUCAGCCUCAUCUUGAAGAGAGCUGUGCAGCUUUUUGCUUCCUACUGCACGGCUCUCACUCACACGCUUUUGGAGAGCGAGAUAUAUCGCCCACCUGAUCAAAGUCCUAUAGCUCUGCGUGUGUGUGUGUGCGAUGAUCAACAAUUAGUAUCAUGUAAAGUGAUCUAUAACACAGCAUUUAUAUUCCUAUAUGGGGGCAUUUAAACAUGAACUUUUAUACUUGGCAUCAAUUUAGUUUGAGAUAUCAGGGAAGGAAUUUCAAAAAUAAGCUGGAAGCUUGAUUAUUCAUAUAUAAAUAAUGUGAUCUACAUCGAUUGCAGAUUAUUUAGGAAGUGGUGGAGUUCGUACUAAGCAGUUAACAUGGACUAAAUUGUUGUUUCGUCUGACAUAUUGUUAGCUCAAGCAAUAGUAAUGAACUUGAGAGUGGCAGUUUUUGAAAUCUUUUGUACAUGUAUACGAGUUGUAUCAAGAUUCUGUGGACAUUCUUUCUUCUAAUUUUGAUCUAUGCAUCACAAUUUUAUGAUCCUUGUAUCUUAAAUCAAACUUUGUUGCUGCAGGUUCAAUAUUCUGGACUUCUUUUAUUGGGAGGCUACCCUUCUGAGUAUCUGCUUUCAAUUGUCACUUGCAGCUUCUAAUAGUUUGCAAACCAAAUAUGGUUUUACAUGUUCAUGCACUUGCAGUGUAAUUUGUUUAAUAUGUUUGGCUAAUACAAAUUUCAAAGACAAAAAACAAAACAAGUGAAACAACUAUUUAUCCCAAAUGUAUAUUAUAUAUAUUCGACAGCAUUGAACUGUUUUUUUUCCCCCUUCAAUUGUUACAAUUUUCACAUAUUAUAAUCUAAAAUCUAUUCGGUAUCUAGGUACAUACAUUUAGUAGUAUAAUCAAAAGGUCUGUGGGUCAUUAACUUGAAAAUAUGUUUCUACUAAUAUUUGGAGAAGUGUAUAUUGUAUGUGGCAUUGAACUUUUCUUUCUAUUUCUUUUUUCAAAAUUAUUACAAUUUACACACAUAUUUCAGUCUAAAUUAUUUAGUGAAAAUAAAUUAGAUAUCAAAUUAUGUCGUAACAAGAUAAAUCAGGGAGCAGGGCAGAAUCAAGUAUAAAACGUAGGAUGAGGAACAAGAUUAUAACGAAUAAAACUACCAGUAAAUGAUGACCACUUUAAUUUCCUCUGCACCUUCAUCUUCUCUGAUUCGUCAACCCCUUAAACGCCCAAAAUCCUCAAGACUCUCAAAAGCAAAGACACUAACUUCAACCAUUGAAGCAACUUCUUCUCAACCAAAACCCAACAACGCCAAUGCUAAAAAACCCACUUCAAGAAACCGCAGAAGAUCGUCGUAUGGCAGCUCGAGAAGGUCAGCUCGAGAAGGUCAGCUCGAUAAGAAAACAUUCGCUCAAGAGCAAGUCACGUUCACUGCACCUGUCUCCAGUGACCCCCGUGUGGGGAUUAUUGGUGGAGGCAUGGCCGGUCUCGCUUGUGCUUUGAGUUGGGAUAAGAGAGGUGUCAAGUCCACUGUUUUUGACACGGUUUGUCAUUCGUCUGGUUUCUUGGCUUUUUUUUUUUCUGUACUUUUGUGUUUCUGAUUGGAGAGCUUGAAGUGGGUGGCCAAUUCAAUUAUCUGUUUAAUAUGGUUAGGUUGUGUUUGUAUUUGAGAGUAUACACUCGUGUAAUGGUGAUUGAAAAAAUGUGCUGUUAACGGUCUAGCACGUGUUGUUAUGCAUCGAAUUUUGAUUAUAAGCAUGUUUUGGAGUUGAGGUAUUGUGACUUUUGACCCGCAUUUGUUGACGAAUGAAAUUAAAACAUUAGCUGCUAAAUAUAAGUGGGGGUUUAUCAAAUAUUUUAGUCAACCACAUUUAUAUAUUCUUAACACCGUGCUUUGCUAUAUCAGGGGAAUCAUGGCUUGGGAGGAAGAAUGGGAACCAGAAUGAUAGGUCCUCAACCACUGAUAUUUGAUCAUGCUGCUCAAUUCUUUAUUGUGAAUGAUUCUUGGUUUCGUGAGUUGGUUGAUGGUUGGUUGGAGAGGUGUCUGGUGCGACCAUGGAAGGUGUGAUUGGAGAGCUUGAAGUGGGUGGCCAAUUCACUCCAUUUCCUUCUUCACCUCCAAAAUACAUUGGUGUGAAUGGGAUGCGCCCUCUUGCAGACUCUUUAUUGGCCCAGGUGACAAAUCUUUAUUUUUCUUUUGUGUUCUUUUCUUGUUGAUUCUAUCAUGCUUCUUUGCAUUAAAAGGGGAAAAUUGUCUAAUUAAAUCACAAUGGUAAAAAACCGAAUUAUUGUUUUGAAGAAGGUAGUAUUGCUGCCUGGGUAUUCAAAGUCCCAAAAUCAUUAUACCGUUGAGGUUCGACCAGAGAACGAAGAUAAGAGUAUAUGAAACUAAAAGCUAUAAUUACAUGGUCACAUGAUUUUAACUGCUUAGGCUGCGUGACUAUACUUAAUGAAAUGUGCCGAUAAUGAUCAUAACUGACGAAAAGAAUAACCAGCAUGAACAUUUUGCACCGCUGUAUGAUGACUACAAUUCCUGUGAAGUAACAGGUUCCAUAUAUGGAUAAUGGAUUAUUAAUAGUGAGUUGGAGUUAGUUAUAUACAACAUCUUAAAUGGCAUACCUUUACUUUUAAAUCAUGUAAAUAAGUUCCUCUGUCCCUCAUGCCUUGGCUUAAUUCAUUUUGAUUCUUGUUGCAGACCUCUAUGUUUAGCAUAGUGAGACCUUGCUGGAUAAGUAAUCUUGAGCCAUUUAACGGGAUGUGGCACUUGAGCGAGAAUGUGAAACUACGUGGGCAGUUUGACGUGGUUGUUAUUGCUCAUAAGGGUGAUUCAGUGUUGCUAUCCUUUCUCGUUUUCUCUCUCUGUGGAUUGUUAUAGUCUUACCUUUGCAUUCCAAAAAUGCAGGUUAUUGUUUUUUGCAGUUGCAUGAAUGUGACAAUUGGCUUUGCUAUUGGAAAAAAAUAUAUCUAUAUUUCUGAUUUUACUCUCUAUCAUUACAGUGGAUUAGGAGUGGCAAAUAAUCUGGUUUAUUACAGGGAAGCCCUACCCAAAUCCGAACUCCUAUGGAAGGGGUCCCUCUCCCUAACCAUCCUGGAAUACCCCGGGGGGUUAGAAUGCAUUUAGUGUUACAUUAUAUGACUUUGUAGUUCGCUGAGUUCUUAUGUUUUCUGGGAUACUAGGACUUCAAAAAGCACUGAAAACUUCAUAGAAUUUCAUACUGAUUUUCACUGUCAAUUUGGAGAAAAUGAUGGCUAGAUUAGAAGUAAGAUUAAGAGCAACUUGUAAAUUUAAUCAACUGGAAGACUGGUAUUGAAUGGCUAUUAGUUAGGUUAGAAUAAGAUGAGCCAGACUUUCAAGCUGUGCCAUGCAUUCAAGGGCCGUUGAGUAUUACGUAGGUUGUUAUGGAAGAGUUAAAAAAUAUCUAUAUAAAUUUAACAACCAGAUUAGGUUUCUAGAUCCAGAAGUCGAGGUUAUGUUUAUUUGCUUACUCUUUCGACUGUUAAUUGCCUAUGUCUUUUCCUGUUUACAUUUUGGCUUAGCUUUGUAAUAAUAGUUCCUUCAUGUAAUGAUAGGAAAAUGUGCAAACCGGUUGCUUGGUUCAUCUGGCUUACCUCAAAUAGCUAGACAAAUGAAGGUAUAUGCAUUGAAAUAUUCAGUUCUUUUAAUAUUAUCUAGCCUAUGUUUUAUUCAGUAUUGGCCAAUUCUAAUUAUUUUGAAGAUUCAUAAUGCAUUUGCCUGGUUUGUAGAGGCUGGAACUAAGUUCUAUAUGGGCCCUUCUUGCUGCAUUUGAGGACCCCCUCCCACUGGGCAGUGCAUCAACAUUUGAAGGCGCCUUUGUGAAAGGUGUUGAUUCUGUCUCAUGGAUGGCAAAUAACUCAGCAAAACUUUUGAAUUCUCAGAGUGAUGCUCCUCACUGUUGGACCUUCUUCAGCACCGCAGCUUACGGAAAACGAAACAAGGUUCCACAGGUCAGUUUGUAUAUAAAUGUGGGUCCAACUGCAACAGCAGAGAAGGUGAAAAAAGGUAUGCUCGAGGGUGUUGAAGCUGCACUUGGCCGACCGAAAGGUUCACUUCAGAAGCCCAUUUAUACUCGAGUCCAUUUAUGGUAAGACUCCACUUUUAAGGACAUGACCUUGUAAUUUCAUUUUUUUAUCUUGUCCAAUUUGGAUCCUUGUAACCUACUUGACCUGUAAAUAUUUGCUGUUGGUGUUGGUUUAGAAUGAGUGGUUGAUUUGAACAAGCUUAAAAAGUUAUUGUGUGGACUUGUGUAUAGUCCUAGUUCUAUUUUCCUGUUACGCUCAUUUUUAAAAAAAGAUGGAACAUGUCAUUCCAAUUUAUUAAAUAAAUAAAACAACUUCAGAAUUUCAUGAUUAAGAAAAUAGUUCCUAUGUGAUGAAUUAGGUAUUUAUUUAUUUAUAUAUCUAUUUUAUUUAUUUAUUUUUUUGGGGGGGAAAUGUGUAGGGGUGCAGCUCUUCCAACUAAUACUCCAAGUAUUCCAUGUAUGGGGAUUGGCUGUUGGGUUCAAGUGUAGAGUCAGCUGCAUUGAGUGGCAUGGCUCUUGCCAAUCAUGUAAGCAAGAAUAUGAUUUUCAUUUGCUUAUUUGGUUUUAUUUUGUGCAUGUAACUAUAUAUUUCAUGGUUGAUAUAAAAAAAUAAAAUAAAUCUAAGACACUUCCGGUACAUGUGGGGAUUGGCUGUUGGGUUCAAGUGUAGAGUCAGCUGCAUUGAGUGGCAUGGCUCUUGCCAAUCAUGUAAGCAAGAAUAUGAUUUUCAUUAUUUGGUUUUAUUUUGUGCAUGUAACUAUAUAUUUCAUGGUUGAUAUAAAAAAAUAAAAUAAAUCUAAGACAACCAUUCUAUCCCUAUAUGGACAUCUAAAUAUAACUUCCGGUACAUGUGGGGAUUGGCUGUUGGGUUCAAGCGUAGAGUCAGCUGCAUUGAGUGGCAUGGCUCUUGCCAAUCAUGUAAGCAAGAAUAUGAUUUUCAUUUGCUUAUUUGGUUUUAUUUUGUGCAUGUAACUAUAUAUUUCAUGGUUGAUAUAAUAAAUAAAAUAAAUCUAGGACAACCAUUCUAUCCCUAUAUGGACAUCUAAAUAUAAUUUGUAGAUUGGCUUCAAUCAGAUUGAAAUAUCAGACAAGUUUCAACAACGUUAGCUUGAAGCUUGUUAUUCUUAUAUAAAUAACGUAAUUGGUCUGUGUAGAUUGCAGACUAUUUAGGAAGUGAUGGAGUUUGUCCUGAGGAAUUUGCUGUCGGUUUACACAAAGACUUUCAGUCGCUCGAAGGACAUGAUAUUGGACAAUUUCCAGGUUUGGAGUCCAUGGAAAAAGAGCAAGUUCAAGCAUAUCGGCUUACUUCUUGAAUCCCUAAGCAGGCCACGAAAAUUUCUAGAGUUUGUCAAGGUAUACUUCUAUUGAUACACUGUUUAUGGCUUUCUGUUUCACUUGGGCUACUGUCAUGUUAAUUCUCUUGGUUUUUAUAGCUAGGAUUAAGAAGUUUAUUCACAAAAUGCAGUUAUUGACAUAGUUGCUAAGCAAGCAUCCUGAAAUUCUUUUUGUGAUACCACAGAGAAGGUGAAAACAGGUAUGCUCGAGGGUGUUGAAGCUGCACUUAG
rnacentral:lncRNA from 1 species